rnacentral:RNase_P_RNA from 1 species
GGGGCAGGUCGGGCAAUCGCGGUUUAUUCCGAGGAAGGUCCGGACUCCAUAGAGCAAGAUAGCGGCUAACAGCCGUCUGGCGACUCUCACGACAAGCCAAGGACUAGGGCCACAGAGACGAGACUGCGUCGAGGGCACCUUAGGGUGCACUGGUACGGCCACUCCGUACUGUUUAACGGUUUACCGUUAUAGCGAUGCAGGGUGAAACGCGGUAACCUCUAUCUGGAGCAACAUCAAAUAGGCGUAUGUUGAUUGAUUUUAUCAAUCUAGAGGGCGGCUCGUCCGAAUACGCGGGUAGAUGGCUUGAGCGUAUAGGCAACUAUACGCCUAGACGAAUGAUUGCCAACCUAUAUUAUAGGUUUACAAGAUCCGGCCUAUAGACCUGUUCCACAU